GAGUUUGAUCCUGGCUCACGCACGAACGCUGGCGGCGUGCCUAAUGCAUGCAAGUCGAACGAACCCGACCUUCGGGUCACAUGGGUGAGUGGCGAACGGGUGAGUAACACGUGAGAAACCUGCCCCGAAGUUCGGAAUAACUCAGGGAAACUUGAGCUAAUACCGGAUGCCCUCUUCAGAUCGAAUGGUCAGAUGAGGAAAGAUUUAUCGCUUCGGGAGGGUCUCGCGGCCUAUCAGCUAGUUGGUGAGGUAACGGCUCACCAAGGCAUUGACGGGUAGCUAGUCUGAGAGGACGAAUAGCCACACUGGGACUGAGACACGGCCCAGACUCCUACGGGAGGCAGCAGCAGGGAAUCUUGCACAAUGGACGAAAGUCUGAUGCAGCGACGCCGCGUGGGGGAUGAAGGCCCUAGGGUCGUAAACCCCUUUCAGUAGGGACGAAAAUGACGGUACCUACAGAAGAAGCUCCGGCCAACUACGUGCCAGCAGCCGCGGUAAGACGUAGGGGGCGAGCGUUGUCCGGAAUUAUUGGGCGUAAAGAGCUCGUAGGCGGUUGCGUAAGUCGGAUGUGAAAACUCAGGGCUCAACCCUGAGACGCCAUCCGAUACUGCGCUGACUUGAAUCCAGUAGGGGAGUGUGGAAUUCCUGGUGUAGCGGUGAAAUGCGCAGAUAUC
rnacentral:rRNA from 1 species